rnacentral:rRNA from 1 species
UCUUUCUUUGCUGGCGACCGGCGCACGGGUGAGUAACACGUAUCCAACCUGCCCUUUACUCGGGGAUAGCCUUUCGAAAGAAAGAUUAAUACCCGAUAGUAUAAUGAUUCCGCAUGGUUUCAUUAUUAAAGGAUUCCGGUAAAGGAUGGGGAUGCGUUCCAUUAGGUUGUUGGUGAGGUAACGGCUCACCAAGCCCUCGAUGGAUAGGGGUUCUGAGAGGAAGGUCCCCCACAUUGGAACUGAGACACGGUCCAA